AAAAGCAGUUCGACCAGUUCAUGAAUGUUCUCCAGUCACUUUGUGCGUCACUGCUACAUAUUUUCUGAUAUUUCCUGGUUGAAUCAGAUGAUCAUUGUUGUGAUGACUGGAUACCAGGUUUGAUGCCUCUCCAUGGAUUUAAAUGAACAAAUAGAAGUAUAGGAAUACUAAAAAAGAAAUAAAUAUUUACAGAGCUCUGUCAACAAGUUUUGAGACGUGGAUUUAGGUGAGUGUGAAUGCUGUCGAAUAUAUGAAAUUUAAUUGUAUUUCCUCAUACAGAUUACAAUUUCACACAGUUCUAAUUUAAGUUAAAAAAAUAAAAUUACAAACUAUAUUACAGAAUUCGAGUGAAAAGUUAAAGUCUGUGUCACUCUUUCGGUUUGAUUUGAGAAUGUUUUAAAGAUCCUCUUAAUUAAUUUAAGUUAAAAAAAAAAAAUUACAAACUAUAUUACUGAAUUUGAGUGAAAAGUUAAAGUCCUUGUCACUCUUUCGGUUUGAUUUGAGAAUGUUUUAAAGAUCCUCUUGUUUGCUUUAUUAAGCAAGAAAAUCUAAAUCUUUAUGGGAGUUCGAAUAAUCAAUAAUGACGCAUACACUUUAAUUAUAUCUGAGCAAUAAAUGGUGAUCUGUAAAUACGUUUUUCAAAUUUGUACUCAUUUUAUGUUUAUAUUUUGAAUGUUUUUUGGGUUGCUUUUCAUUAUUGGUUGUUAUUGUUUAAUAAAUAACAAAUAAAACUAAUAAAAAACAUAAAAGUGUCAAAAAUGUGGUCUUAAACUUUUGGACUUGACUGUAUUUCUGUAUAAAAUGAUUACUCUGUUUGUUCAGUCAGAAUUACGUGUUUAAUUAGCAAUAUUUGUAUAUCUCCUGCAGCUCUUGUGCAUUCAGUCUCCUCUGAAACUUGAGAAAUGACAAGAAAACAAAUAGAAAUGGCAGCAGAAAAUGCAACUGAAAAGAAUGAAAUGCAGAGAAUGAAAGCUGUACUGAGAAAUGCAGUCAAACCUACACAGCAGGAAAAACCAACAAAGAGAGGAACAGAAAAUGCCUGUGGAUUCAGAGAACAUCUAACAGUGUGCAAGACAGACAGCAAUAAAGAAUUUCCACCAAACUUCUCUCUUGAUCAAGAAAGAUUAAGAAAGACCUGAUGCGACAGAGAUAUUCAAAGAAGAGGUAAGAAAAUCCAACUUGUACUGUACAUACAGGAAAUAAAUCUGUGUAAAUCACAAUAUAAAUCCUGACAUUGUGUUUUCUUUUUUAGAAAGCUGCAGUUGAUCUGAGAGAAUGUUCUUCAAAUCACUUUCAGUCAAUGAUUCAGAAUGAGACUUUUUUUUUACCUGAAACACAUCUGAUUAUCUACUAAAAGAUAAGUCAUAAACGAGGUUAAGUGUCUUGUUCAAGUGCAUAAUGAUCACUGUUUUUCAGCUGCUAGAACCAAAAGAUUUAGGCUAAUUCAUCUAACUGAAAUAUUCUUUGUGAAAGCUCAUGUAAGUGUCAGUGUCUAAACCUGAAGUGUCUAUGUUUUAGUCAUUCUGCCCAUGACAGAAUUUAUUGCAAUACUUCUGUGUUUUUCGUUUUGUUUAUUGUUGAUGUUGGUUUAGCACUGCAGCAGUGUGCAAGAAAUGUGUCUGUCACAAAGAAAUGUGUAAAACUAAGAUGCAUGAUAUUGAAUUUUUUAUAUUUUAAAAUGAGCAUACGGUGGUUUUGUAACUGUAAAACACAGCUGAUUUACAUCUCCAGCAGCAAGCUCCAGAAUUUGACCAGCUAAUAUAUAUUUUAACUUUUGCUAUACUUUCGUAAGCUUUGCAUUGUAUUAUCAGGAUGUUCUUGCUGGUCUAUAGAAUAUUAAACAACUGAUGAAAAAUACAGGUACUUUAGGUGCUAGUUAUUCACAAGUAUUAAGCAAAAUAAGCAAAGAUAAGAACAUGAAAAUAAGACUUGAACAAACUGUUAUUUUCACGUUCAACCACUAGAUGGCAGAAUUUAAUUUCAGACCACACUCAUGUCAGUUUUAUGGAACGUACAACAUUCUCAGAAAUAGUCUAUAAACCUCAGUAGAUUUUUCUUUGUCAGUGUUUGUAAUAAUUGUUAUACUCAGUCCAGUGACAGAGAUGGGCUAUACAAUAAGUAGGCUACACAAAUAUUUUAAAUGUUCUAUAUGGGGCACAACCUAAGAUGAUACAACUUGACAAAAACAAAAACAAAACCACUUGACUUGCAGGACGGGUUGCCAGUUUGCAGAAAACACAGCAUGCUGCAGCCAGGGAAUAUUAUGAUGUCAAGGCUAUUUACUGAUGUUUAAUCAUACAUGAACUUCCCAAAAACAAGAUGAUAACCUACCUAGGCUAUGCUAAUUAACGAGUCAGCCAGGGCCCCUCCCACCCCAGGUUCAGUUUGUCCCCCCUCCACCUCCAAAAUGCAAUCAGUUUUAACAAAUUAAUUCACACAUAUUUGACAAUCAGGAAAGGCUGUAUCAUAUAGUUCAUGAUGUAGGCUAGUUAACAAGUUUGUGGAUAUUUCGAAUAAAAAAGGAAAAUCUAAAUAAAAGUCAUACAUCUCUCAUACAGCGCUGUUGUGCCUGCAUGAUGCGUCAGUAUAGAAAUAAUAAGAUUAUUAUCAGGUAUAAAUGAUUUAAAUAUUUAAUAUUGCUUUUUUUCAUGUACUCUUGGGGGGCCCCUGGUGGCCACAGGGGGCCCUAAGCAGCCGCUUAGUUGGCUUAUGCCUUGCGCCGGCUCUGAGAUUCCCCCAUAAUCAGGAUUAUCGUCUGCUUUAAACACAUUCUCCUCUAUGCCACUUUCACUGUCAAAAACCUGUGACAAAAUCUCAUUGACAGAGAUUCUCCUUGUUUAGAGGCCAUUUUCAACUGAGAGAGAAAGCGUAAAGAGAGAGCUCACAGAGCAGAAAGAGAAAUGGUUCAGAAGGCCUCUGUGCAAGCUUUUAUAUGUUUGCUCCUCCCCCUUAAACCACAAGAAUUAUUUUUCCUCUCCCUCAUGAGAAAUAUCCAAGUUCUCGCAAGAAUAAGGGUUUCUCCCCACCCAUGGCACGAGAAAUAUCAAAGUUCUCGUGAGAAUUAGGAUUCCUCCUCACCCAUGUCAUGUGAACUAUCAGUGGUUCUCGCAAUACUACAGGUAUGGUUAGGUUAGGUUAAAUCCCUAAAACAGAGGGAAGUUUUUUGAAUAUUAUCCUGAAUAUAUAAAAUUAUGGUGAAUAUUAUAAAAUUAUAGCAUGUUAUAAUGACCUCAAUGUCACCCAAAACAAAUGUGUGAAAAAUUUGGAUAUAAAGAGCCUGGGGUCAAAUUGACCCCAAGGAACACCGAUGCUGCAAAAUGUGUAGAGGACAUUGAAAAAAAUAUCACUAUGAUUAUUUUAUGUUUACGGAGUUGUCCCCANGAGGACAUUUAAAAAAAUAUCACUAUGAUUAUUUUAUGUUUACGGAGUUGUCCCCAUUAAAUUAGGAAAAGUCAUUCAACCUGAAGCAAAAAAAAAAGAAAAAAUGUCAAUCAUGGGUCUCACUUUAUAUUAAGUGGCCUUAACUACUAGCCACUUAGUACUGUAAGACUUUGAAUGUUAAAGGUUAAACACCUGACCACUCUUGAGGGUUUGCUACUGUUACAAUUUAAAAUCGAAGAAGGGUAAAAAAAUAACAGGCAGACAUUAGUAUGAUGUAAGCAACACAGCUACAACAAGUAAAUUGGAUAAUUGGUGUGUGAAUAAUUAAGCAUUGGACGUCGCACUGAGGAGCCCCCAUGAAAAAUUCUGCCCCAUAAAGGCUUGGGCCGGCCCUGAGAAGGUUAUAAAACAAUAAUGCAUAUUUUAAACCAGGGAGUUAGUUUUGAGUUUUGACACUUGCAGUAUGUUUUUAAUGUAAGCAAGGGUAACGUCAUAGAUAUAUGUGUAAAUCAAGAGCACUUUGCAAAGAGACAUGCAAAGAGAGAGAGAGAAAAGCCACACAAAAAUGAGAAAAAUUCCCCUGAAGCAAACAGAUCUGGAUACUGCACUGGAAUAGACCUGCCUGUCCUACACUGAAUGAAGUCCAUAUCACCUGCUCGAACAUGUUCCUCUCUGGGAGAAGAAUGCUAAACAGACAAAAUGUUUCUGUGUUAUAUGGGAAAAUAUUUAGAAAUGUUAAUCACACCCAAUAUCCAUAAAAACAAACGUGUGUGUGUGUGUGUGUGUGCGUGUGUGUGUGUGUGUGUGUGUGUGUGUGUGUUGGCCAUCACUACACGUCACACCAUUUUUAUUUUUUUUUGUAUAUAAUUAUAUUGAUGUACAGCUGAGAUCAAAAUGAGAGAACAACCUACAAUUUCAUAAAUUUCAAGGUCACUGCUUUACAGUGAAUUUACAAUAUUUUCAAAAAUUACAAUAUAUAUAUAAAAAAAAACAUAUUUUUUUGCUUCACUGUUUACAACUGUGCAGAAAAAGUUAGAUUUCCAUGUAAUGCAUGAACUAUAAAAAUAUACAGCUUAAAUGCAAUACAUAAAAUAAGUGGGCUGAACAGUAGUAUUUCUGAUGACAAUUGCAGUUGUUCAAAGAAUUCAUAAAUCAAGUCAAGUUUAAACUCGUUGCAUGACGUCAGACCUGGCGCACAAAAUCACAAGGGAGUAAACAUAGAAAGGUUAGCCAGGGACACUCAGACAGAUGCCAGAAAGGCAGGGUUUUAUGCAUUUUGUAUUGUAUAAAUCUGCGUUUAUACAUCUUGUAUGUUUAUUCUAAGAUUUUAUGUCUGAUUGUGCUCUAGUUCUUCUAACCUGCAACAAUGUAUGAAGUGAAGUUCUGAAGGAAACGUGAAGCGUAACUCAGAAAAAUGAGCAGAGUAAAGACUCUGAGAAAUAGAGUACAGACAGAAAGUGUCACAACUAAUUGGAAUAGCAGAGAAAAGUGUCCGGAGCUCACCAGGAGAAACAGUAUGAAUGGACAGAGACCCUGUAGUGAGUAUUAUCAGCUUCAUUGUUUCGUUUUAACUGUGAUUGUUUCUUUUACAAAUACAGAUCAGAUGGAGACAGUUUUAUAUUUAUGCAUUAAAUAAGCUGCACAUGAACAGAUUUUGUUUUUAUUUCCAGUGGCUCAUGAUGCAGAUGCGGACAGACCUGUGAAGUGUCAUUCUGAUUUGUCAGAGAGGAUCAAAUAUGAGGUGAGAUAUUCACCACAAAGAGAACAGAAGAGACAAACAAUUGUCAUCAGUUAUGAUAAUAUAUCCUUUUCUACUCAUUAAUAUGAAGUAGUAUUUGGAAAUAAUGAUGAAAGAGAAUCCCUGAACAGUUUUAGUCAUUCGAUUAUUUUUUUCUCUUUAUUGAUUACAGCACAAAACCUCCUGGACCCGUCCUCCUGACAGCAUCUCUAUCAGCAAAACUGAAAUACCUUCAAGACUUUAUAACCACAAACAAUCUGGAUUUUAUGUUUCUAAAUGAAACAUGGCUAGAAGACAGCUGCAGUGCAACAGUCCUAAAUGAAGCAGCCCCUCCUAACUUUACUUUCACGAGUGUCUGCAGGACUGUUAGGAGAGAUGAAGGUGUAGCUGCUCUAUUUAAAGAUGUCUACCAAUGUAAGCAAGUGUCAUUUGAAUAUCUUUUGAAUAUCUAGGGAUUGUGCUGAAAGGUGCUCCACGCAUUCUGUUUAUCAUUAUUUACAGGCCUCCAANUGAAAUUCGCCUUCCGUUCAAAACUGCUUUAUAUUAUUAUUAUUAUUAUUAUAUUAUAUAUUAGCAAUGAUGAAUUUAGGUUCAUAAAAAUGUCAACUAACUGUUGUUAAGUUCUUCUCUUUGCAAACAUUUUUCUUUAAAAACAAAAUGCACUGAUGAAUUGUCUGUAUACUGAGACAAGGAUCACGAAUUACGUAAAAAGAUUUCAUGUUACCAACAAUCACUCUCAUAGAGCUAAAUCACCAUUGCUUUUCAUUUUCUCAUAAAUCCUAAAUCAAUAAAAACUCCCAACUGAGGGCGAGACUGAACAAAAUCAAAGCAAAAGAAUGGCUAAAUGAUAGCUAAAUUAAUGUAAUAUAACUUCACAUUGUUCAGUUUUCUGUAGUCAUACACACCAGCCAGAUAUGCUAAAAAAAAUCUAUAUUUAAAAAAUCACAAU
ensembl:lncRNA